rnacentral:rRNA from 1 species
UACAGAGGUCUCAAGCGUUGUUCGGAUUCAUUGGGCGUAAAGGGUGCGUAGGCGGCGCGGUAAGUCGGGUGUGAAAUCUCGGAGCUUAACUCCGAAACUGCAUUCGAUACUGCAGUGCUUGAGGACUGGAGAGGAGACUGGAAUUCAUGGUGUAGCAGUGAAAUGCGUAGAGAUCAUGAGGAAGACCAGUGGCGAAGGCGGGUCUCUGGACAGUUCCUGACACUGAGGCACGAAGGCCAGGGGAGCAAACGGG